UCCUCUGUAGUUCAGUCGGUAAAACGGCGGACUGUUAAUCCGUAUGUCACUGGUUCGAGUCCAGUCAGAGGAGCCA
rnacentral:tRNA from 1 species